rfam:Desulfobacula sp. RIFOXYA12_FTLL_46_16 rifixya3_full_scaffold_4345, whole genome shotgun sequence.
AAUAUUUAUGGCCAAACCGAUCGUGAGGUUGGGACGGAAAGCCACGGAUCUUGAACAAGACAGCCGGGUUGCAGAC